AAAUUAUGCAAGAAUUUAAUUAUUAUUCCAAAAUCUAUUCCCAAUACAUAAAUUUUUAUUAUAAAUUAAUUGAAUUGAACAUUAAUAUAAUUAAAUUGAAUUUUUGUAUGUUAUUAUUUAUUUUAAUUUUAUCUACUAUCUGUUGGUGGGAUGGUGAUCAAGAUAAAGCAUGCAUAAGUAGGUUGAAAAAAUAAAAUAUCUACUAUCAAUUUCAGGCGAUCUUGAUUCAUAUGUUUAAUUUUGUGUAAAGUUCAAUAUAUACUAUUUUUUUUUUUUUUUA
rnacentral:misc_RNA from 1 species